UACGAAGGGAGCUAGCGUUGUUCGGAAUUACUGGGCGUAAAGGGCGCGUAGGCGGACAUCUAAGUCAGGGGUGAAAUCCCAGGGCUCAACCCUGGAAUUGCCUUUGAUACUGGACGUCUCGAGUUCGGGAGAGGUGAGUGGAAUUCCGAGUGUAGAGGUGAAAUUCGUAGAUAUUGGGAAGAACACCGGUGGCGAAGGCGGCUAUCUGGCCCGUAAUUGACGCUGAGGCGCGAAAGCGUGGGGAGCAAACAGG
rnacentral:rRNA from 1 species